rnacentral:rRNA from 1 species
CCUACGGGUGGCAGCAGUGGGGAAUAUUGGGCAAUGGGCGCAAGCCUGACCCAGCAACGCCGCGUGAAGGAAGAAGGCUUUCGGGUUGUAAACUUCUUUUCUUAGGGACGAAGAACGUGACGGUACCUCCGGUAUAAGCCACCGCUAACUACGUGCCAGCAGCCGCGGCAAUACGGCGGUGGCAAGCGUUCUGCGGAUUUAUUGGUGUUAAGGGUCGUGUAGGCGGGAAGGAAAGUCAGAUGUGAAAACCCGGGGCUCAACCCUGAGCCUGCAUUUGACAAUGGUUUUCUUGAGUGCUGGGGAGGCAAGCGGAAUUCCGGGUGUAGCGGUGAAAUGCUGAGAUAUCUGGAGGAACCUCAGUGGCGAAGGCGGAUUGCUGGACAGUAACUGACGCUGAGGCGCGAAAGCGUGGGGAGCAAACAGGAUUAGAUACCCCUGUAGUC